rnacentral:lncRNA from 1 species
CUUUGUCUCUCUUUGUCUCUCUUUGUCUCUCUCUCUCUCUCUCUCUCUCUCUAAUUUAGACUCUACAACACCUGAGUCCAGCACUACAGAACAAAAUACUACAGCUGACCUCACAACACAACUGACCACAGUUACCAGUAAAUACAAUCAAGUACUAGUGAAAAUAAUUUGUUCUGAAAUUCAGGUCUUUGCACGUUUGUCACAAUAUCUCUCUCUCUCUCCCUCGCUCUCUCCCUCGCUCUCUCCCUCUCUCUCUCCCUCGCUCUCUCCCUCUCUCUCUCCCUCGCUCUCUGUCUGUCUGUCUGUCUGUCUGUCUGUCUGUCUGUCUGUCUGUCUGUCUGUCUGUCUGGUUGUCUCUCUCUCUCUCUAAUUUAGACUCUACAACACCUCAGGCCAGCGCUACAGAACAAAUAACUAUAGUUGAUAACACAACACAACUGACCACAGUUACCAGUAAGUAUCAUCAAGUUCUGGAGAACAAAAUGUGUGUUUCUUCCCUGCUGUAGACACUACAACAUCUGCACCCACAACAGGACAAAGUACUACAGCUGACCUCACAACACAACUGACCCCAGUUACCUGUAAAUAAAAUCAAGUACUGGUGAAAAUACUUUGUUCGGAAUAUCAGUUCUUCAUAAAAUUGUCACAAUCUUUCUCUCUCUCUCUCUCUCUCUCUCUCUCUCUCUCUCUGCUUUAGACUCUACAACACCUGAGGCCAGCACUACAGAACAAAAUACUACAGCUGACCUCACAACACAACUGACCACAGUUACCAGCAUGUACUCUACAACACCUGAGUCCAGCACUACAGAACAAAAUACUACAGCUGACCUCAUAACACAACUGACCACAGUUACCAACUCUACAACACCUCAGGCCAGCACUACAGAACAAAUAACUAUAGUUGAUAACACAACACAACUGACCACAGUUACCAACUCUACAACACCUGAGGCCAGCACUACAGAACAAAAUACUACAGCUGACCUCACAACACAACUGAACACAGUUACAAACUCUAGUGCACCUGCACCCACAACACAACAGAGUACUACAGCUGACCUCACAACACAACUGACCACAGUUACCAACUCUAGUGCACCUGCACCCACAACACAACAGAGUACUACAGCUGACCUCACAACACAACUGACCACAGUUACCAACUCUACCACACCUGAGGCCAGCACUACUGAACAAAUGACCAAAGUUACCAGUAAGUUUCAAGUUCUGGAGAACAAAACAUGUCUGAAGCAAAGUUCACCACCAAAAGAGCUGACACUCAAUCACAAUGUUUCUUCCCUGCUGUAGACUCUACAACAUCUGCACCCACAACAGGACAAAGUACUACAGCUGACCUCACAACACAACUGACCACAGUUACCAGUAUGACGGCUAACAUUUUAUUUCAGAACAAAAUGGCAUUUUUAUUGUCACUAUCUGUCACAACAGAACUGACCACAUUGACCAGGCUAAGUGCUUCUGAAGGCUAUCAAAUAGUACUUUCUGAGGCAUUAUGAGUUUCUGUUAAUCUGCUUCUUUUGUUUAUCACUACGUUACUUCUCUCUUGGUAGACUCUACUACACCUGCAGCUGGAACAAAACAGACCACUACAGCUGAUCCCACAACACAACCGACCACAGACACUAGUAAGUGUCAUCAAUUUCUGUAUAACAAAACCUGUCUAAAGCGGACUUCACCAAACAGACCUAACAAUCUAUGUUACUUCUCUGCUGUAGACUCUACUGCACCCACAAAUACAUGAACUACUGAAUCAACACCAGCAUUAAGUACAAAAACACCAACAACAAUUGCAAAACCUGCUGGUGUGUGUAAGAAUAGAGGAUGUUUCUGAACACUUCUAAAUGAAUCCUGACCACAUUCACCAGUAGGUGAACCAUAGUUCACCAAACAGAUCUAACAAUGUAACAGUCGGUCACUACUGUAUAUUACCGCUUUGUUGUAGCCUCUGCAACACCUACGCCCAGAACAGAACAGAGAACAACCAACACAGGUAGCACAGGUGUUGUUCUGUCAUCCACCUACAGUUUUGUACUAUAGCUUUCACCUACUGCUAUGCCAUGUGUCUCUCCCAACAGGAACUACAGCAACUACUGAACCAACACCAGCAACUACAAAAACGACACCACCACCACCAACAACAACAGCAAUACCACCACCAACACCAACAACAACAGUACCACCACCAUCACCAACAACUGCAAAACCAGCUGGUAUGUGUAAGAAUUGAAGAUGUUUCUGAACACUACUAAAUGAAUCCUGAUUAUGCCAUGAUUAUGAAAAAUCCUGAAUCAAUCAUGAAUAUUGAUGGGUGAGAAGGUUACAGAGGACACAACAAAACAUGUUAACCUCUCAGCAUUAGCGAUGGCAUUUUUGGGGGGUAUGAUCUUUGUGCCUCUGUUAAUUUCUCAGUCAUUAUUAUUCACGACUCAUUUACGAUUAUACAUAAUCAUGGUAGCAUCCACAUUAAUGUAGAAGUGUUCAGAGACAUCUUCUAAUCUUACUUACAAUAAAAGUGUCUCCAAAAUAACACAAUGCGUUAUUCACCAUUCAGUUCCUAUAGGGAAAAAUAUA